rnacentral:rRNA from 1 species
AGUGGCGAACGGGUUAGUAACACGUAGAUAACCUUCCCCGAGGACAGGCAUAGCCCGGAGAAAUCCGGGGUAAUUCCUGAUAAAAAUGAGGGGACGUAAGUCAUUCUCAUUUAAACUCGCAAGAGACCUCGGGAUGGGUCUGCGGCUUAUCAGCUAGUUGGUGGGGUAAUGGCCUACCAAGGCGAUGACGGGUAGGGGAUGUGAGAGCAUGUUCCCCAACACUAGCACUGCGACACGGGCUAGACUCCUACGGGAGGCAGCAGUCGAGAAUAUUUCGCAAUGGGCGAAAGCCUGACGAAGCGACGCCGCGUGAGCGAAGAAGGACUUCGGUCUGUAAAGCUCUUUUGCCGCCGAACAAGCCGCAAGGCUGAGCUUAGGCGGCGAAUAAGGGGGUGCAAAUUCUGUGCCAGCAGCCGCGGUAAGACAGAACCCCCAAGCAUUAUCCGGAUUUAUUGGGCGUAAAGCGUCCGUAGGCGGUCAGGAAAGUCUUAAGUUAAACACCUUGGGCUUAACCUAAGGGAUGCUUGAGAUACUACUUGGCUUGAGGGCGUUAGGGGCUGAUGGAACGGUCGGUGUAGGGGUGAAAUCCGUUGAUAUCGACCGGAACACCAAAAGCGAAGGCAUUCAGCUGGGGCGACCCUGACGCUGAAGGACGAAAGCGUGGGGAGCAAAAAGGAUUAGAUACAAGCCAGUGCUUCGCACUGGCACGCGGAUACGCGCGGAUUAGCGACUGCUUCGCAGUCGUAACGCGGAUAUACGCGGAUAAGUGUUUCUUACACCGGUAACGGUGUAUUGUAACUCGGCCAUAUGCGGGAAACUCCUAUUGUUUAAGACUUAAUCUUGGACAAGGACAAUCCGCAGGAAACCCAAAAGGGGAUCCUCAGAGACUGUACGCCGAGCCCCCUGAAUUUAUCAAAGGGGUGAAGAUAUAGUCCGGCCUCAUAGGUAACUAUGAGAUUCCAGAAGAAAUUCUGGGGCGCAGUCCGAAUGUAAAAAUUUUUAAUUUUGAAUUGUAAUUUUGCAUUUUAAUUUUUGAAUUUUGCAUUCGGCUGUUACAAAGUAACAGACGCGACCCUUGUAGUCCACGCUGUAAACGAUGGACACUGGCUAUUCGAAGUGUCGACCCUUCGGGUGGCGAAGCUAACGCGUUAAGUGUCCCGCCUGGGAAGUACGACGGCAACGUUAAAACUCAAAGGAAUAGACGGGGACUCACACAAGCGGUGGACCAUGUGGCUUAAUUCGACAACAAGCGAGGAACCUUACCAGGGCUCGACAGGCUAGUGAAAGUCUUGAGAAAUCAGGAUGUACCCACAAGGACACUAGUCCAGGUGCUGCAUGGUUGUCGUCAGCUCGUGUCUUGAGAUGUACGCUUAAGUGCGGUAACGAGCGCAACCCUUACCCUGUGUUUUAAUUGUCACAGGGGACUGCCUCGGAUAACGGGGAGGAAGGCGAGGAUGACGCCAAAUCAGCAUGGCCCUUUGAUGCCCUGGGCUGCACACGUGGUACAAUGGGGCCGACAAUGGGUCGCUAAGGAGAAAUCCGGAGCUAACCCCAUCAAACGGCCUCUUAGUUCGGAUUGAGGUCUGAAACCCGACCUCAUGAAGCCGGAAUCGCUAGUAAUCGCCAAUCAGCCAUGUGGCGAUGAAUAUGUUCCUGAGUCUUGUACUCACCGCC